rnacentral:rRNA from 1 species
UACGGAGGGUCCAAGCGUUAUCCGGAAUCAUUGGGUUUAAAGGGUCCGUAGGCGGUCUUGUAAGUCAGUGGUGAAAGCCCAUCGCUCAACGGUGGAACGGCCAUUGAUACUGCAAGACUUGAAUUAUUGGGAAGUAACUAGAAUAUGUAGUGUAGCGGUGAAAUGCUUAGAGAUUACAUGGAAUACCAAUUGCGAAGGCAGGUUACUACCAAUAUAUUGACGCUGAUGGACGAAAGCGUGGGGAGCGAACAGG